GAUUGUUAACAUGGUAUCAGAGCAGGUAUGUUCUGGUUCUACUCGUCGUGAGCGUUCGAUCGGUGUUACCCUCGACCGUUUCCAUCCAUGUUUCUGUUGAUUCUCAGAAAUUAGGGUUUUUCGAUUCGGUUAGUUCUUCGUAAAUCCUUCAUAUUUUCUGUUGUAAAGCUUGUUUCCUGUUGUGUAAACAUCAUAGAAUGUAUUUUUUUUGUUUUUGACUAGUUACUGUGAUAGUCGUUUUGUUGUAGUUACGAUUUGUUUGGUUUGUUGAGUUUUAAACAUCAUCAGUGGCCAAAAUGGUGGAAAAUGAUGAUGAUUCUGCCUCUGCACCUACUACUUUUGUUCCUAGUCCC
rnacentral:lncRNA from 1 species